GCUGAGAGACCGAGAGUGAGGACGGAGAGCGAGAGGAAGAAGUUGGCGACGGAGGUGGUGAUCGGAGGAGCUACACUUGCUUGCAAACCGGUUGAACUGUCAAGGUUUUGAUAUCUGCAAAAGUCCACAGAAGAAGCUAAGAGGAAGGAAACAAGUAAGGUUUGAUUUUGAAGCAGAAGGUUCAGCUAGAGCAAGCAAUUCCAAGAGUAAGGAGGUCAUAAGUGCUGAAGGUGGGCUUGUAUGAAGAGCAGGAAUGCCUGCUGCUUUUGUACCUACAGAAUAAUUAUU